AUUGAACGCUGGCGGCAUGCUUUAUACAUGCAAGUCGUGCGGCAGCGCGGGGGCAACUCUGGCGGCGAGCGGCGAACGGGUGAGUAAUACAUAGGAACGUAUCCUGAAAUGGGGGAUAGCUCGGCGAAAGCCGGAUUAAUACCGCAUACGCUCCACGGAGGAAAGCAGGGGAUCGCAAGACCUUGCGUUUCUGGAGCGGCCUAUGUCUGAUUAGCUAGUGGCGGGGUAAUAGCCCACCAAGGCGACGAUCAGUAGCUGGUCCGAGAGGAUGAUCAGCCACACUGGGACUGAGACACGGCCCAGACUCCUACGGGAGGCAGCAGUAGGGAAUAUUGGACAAUGGGCGCAAGCCUGAUCCAGCCAUGCCG
rnacentral:rRNA from 1 species